AUGAACGCUGGCGGCGUGCCUAAUACAUGCAAGUCGAGCGAACAGACGAGGAGCUUGCUCCUCUGACGUUAGCGGCGGACGGGUGAGUAUCACGUGGAUAACCUACCUAUAAGACUGGGAUAACUUCGGGAAACCGGAGCUAAUACCGGAUAAUAUAUUGAACCGCAUGGUUCAAUAGUGAAAGACGGUUUUGCUGUCACUUAUAGAUGGAUCCGCGCCGCAUUAGCUAGUUGGUAAGGUAACGGCUUACCAAGGCAACGAUGCGUAGCCGACCUGAGAGGGUGAUCGGCCACACUGGAACUGAGACACGGUCCAGACUCCUACGGGAGGCAGCAGUAGGGAAUCUUCCGCAAUGGGCGAAAGCCUGACGGAGCAACGCCGCGUGAGUGAUGAAGGUCUUCGGAUCGUAAAACUCUGUUAUUAGGGAAGAACAAAUGUGUAAGUAACUAUGCACGUCUUGACGGUACCUAAUCAGAAAGCCACGGCUAACUACGUG
rnacentral:rRNA from 1 species